CAAAGGAGUGAUCCGGUGGCGGAUGGGCAUGCGGCGCAUUAGCUAGACGGCGGGGUGACGGCCCACCGUGGCGACGAUGCGUAGGGGUUCUGAGAGGAAGGCCCCCCACACUGGGACUGAGACACGGCCCAGACUCCUACGGGAGGCAGCAGUGAGGAAUAUUGGUCAAUGGGCGGAAGCCUGAACCAGCCAAGUCGCGUGAGGGAUUAAGGCCCUGCGGGUCGUAAACCUCUUUUGCCGGGGAGCAGUGGUCCGGACGUGUCCGGGCCGGGAGAGUACCCGGAGAAAAAGCAUCGGCUAACUCCGUGCCAGCAGCCGCGGUAAUACGGAGGAUGCGAGCGUUAUCCGGAUUUAUUGGGUUUAAAGGGUGCGUAGGCGGGCAUUUAAGCCGGCGGUCAAAUGUCGGGGCUCAACCCCGGCCUGCCGUCGGAACUGGGUGCCUUGAGUGGGCGAGAAGUAUGCGGAAUGCGUGGUGUAGCGGUGAAAUGCAUAGAUAUCACGCAGAACCCCGAUUGCGAAGGCAGCAUACCGGCGCCCUACUGACGCUGAGGCACGAAAGUGCGGGUAUCGAACAGGAUUAGAUACCCUGGUAGUCCGCACAGUAAACGAUGGAUGCUAUCUGUCCGGGCCGAAUGAGGCCUGG
rnacentral:rRNA from 1 species